ACAAUAAAAAUAUAUUAGAGCUGUUGAAGUUUUAUGACAAAUACAAAAUGAAUGACAUUUUAAUGAAACCAUGGUCACAUUGCUACUUCAUUUUCUCUCAGACAUUUGCACCAUUAACUGCUGCCCCAAAGGCUCCCACAUCAGAGAAUAAGAUAUGCAGGAAGAUAUGUAAAUAUGGUCUUCCUCUGCUCAUGAAAACCAGCCCUGCCCUGACCCUGCAGUUCAGGCAGAGGACUCUAGCCCUGUCUUCCCAUUCAGUGAUCAGCACUGAACACAGAACAUUCAACAUGGGGUUUGGGCUGCACUGGGUUUUCCUUGCUGUUCUUUUAAAAGGUAUCCAUUGUGAGGUGCAGCUGGUUGAGUCUGGUGGAGGAUUGGUGCAGCCUAAGGGGUCAUUGAAACUCUCCUGCAUAGCCUCUGGAUUCACCUUCAGUGACUAUACAAUGUUCUGGUUCCGCCAGGCUCCAGGGAAGGGUCUGGAAUGGGUUGCUGCCAUAGGCUUUAAAAGUAAUAAUUACAUAAUCUUCUAUGCUGAUUCGGUGAAAGGCAGAUUCACCAUCUCCAGAGAUGAUUCCCAAAGCAUGGCCUACCUGCAAAUGAACAGUCUUAAAACUGAAGACACAGCCACAUAUUACUGUGCAAGUGACACAGUGAUAUGUCUUCACUAGGAACCCAGACAAAAACGUCCCUGCCGGGUAUCAGUGACCAGCAGGUGGCGCUCAGCACACAUAAAGCCCAG